CCUACGGGGAGCAGCAGUGAGGAAUAUUGGUCAAUGGGCGCGAGCCUGAACCAGCCAAGUAGCGUGAAGGAUGACUGCCCUACGGGUUGUAAACUUCUUUUAUAAAGGAAUAAAACGAGGCACGUGUGCCUUUUUGUAUGUACUUUAUGAAUAAGGAUCGGCUAACUCCGUGCCAGCAGCCGCGGUAAUACGGAGGAUCCGAGCGUUAUCCGGAUUUAUUGGGUUUAAAGGGAGCGUAGAUGGGUUGUUAAGUCAGUUGGGAAAGUUUGCGGCUCAACCGUAAAAUUGCAAUUGAUACUGGCAGUCUUGAGUACAGUUGAGGUAGGCGGAAUUCGUGGUGUAGCGGUGAAAUGCUUAGAUAUCACGAAGAACCCCGAUUGCGAAGGCAGCUUACUAAACUGUGACUGACAUUGAUGCUCGAAAGUGUGGGUAUCAAACAGGAUUAGAUACCCUAGUAGUC
rnacentral:rRNA from 1 species